AUGUCCAUGUUCACCUCCAGCAGCUCCGGCGUGCCGUCCCCGUCUCCGGAGGCGGGCAGCAGCAUGGUCAGAACGGCGCGGCAGCCCCAGCGCCAGGCGUUUGACUACUUCGUGGUUCUAGACUUCGAGGCGACGUGCGAGAAAGGCGCGCAGAUCUACCCGCAGGAGAUCAUCGAGUUCCCCUCCGUGCUCGUCGACGGCGCCACCGGCGACCUCGACUCCGCCGAGUUCCGCACCUACGUGCGCCCGCAGCACCACCCCGCGCUGACCGACUUCUGCAGGGACCUCACCGGCAUCCGGCAGGCGGACGUCGACGGCGGCGUGCAGCUGGCCGAGGCGCUCCGCCUGCACGCCGCGUGGCUGCAGGACUCGGCGUGGGCCAGGAGCGGCGGCUGCUUCGCCGUCGUCACGUGGGGGGACUGGGACCUCCGCACCAUGCUGGAGACGGAGUGCCGCUUCAAAGACCUCGCCAAGCCGCCCUGCUUCAACCACUGGAUCAACCUCAAGAUCCCCUUCGCCGCGGCGAUGGGCGGAGGUCGGUGGGCUGCUCUGCGGUCGGCCGUCGAAGCGGCGGGGCUCCAGUGGGAGGGCCGCGCGCACUGCGGCCUCGACGACGCUCGUAACACGGCGCGGCUUCUCGUGGAGCUGAUGCGGCGCGGCGUCCAGCUCAGCAUCACGACCUCGACCCCAUCGCCUCAGGUAACUGUAACUCCAUACGGUGGCGCCGCCGCGGCGUGCUACUGCUACUGCGGGGUGGCGAGCAGAGGUGGCGUGGUGGCCGUGCCGGGGCCGAUGCAGGGGAGAUGCUUCUACGGUUGCGGUAACUGGACGCCGUCCAUGGGAGCAGCGUGCUCCUACUUCACGUGGGCAGAUUAA
rnacentral:rRNA from 1 species